AUACGGAGGGUGCUAGCGUUGUUCGGAAUUACUGGGCGUAAAGGGCGCGUAGGCGGCCGUUUGCGUCGGAUGUGAAAGCCCGGGGCUCAACCUCGGAACGGCAUUCGAUACGGGACGGCUGGAGACCGGGAGAGGAGAGUGGAAUAGCCAGUGUAGAGGUGAAAUUCGUAGAUAUUGGCUGGAACACCGGUGGCGAAAGCGGCUCUCUGGCCCGGUUCUGACGCUGAGGCGCGAAAGCGUGGGGAGCAAACAGGA
rnacentral:rRNA from 1 species